rfam:Schistosoma curassoni strain Dakar, Senegal genome assembly, scaffold: SCTD_scaffold0004577
AUUCAGCUGAUGAGUUCAAAAUAGGAUGAAACACACGUUCUGGAU